UACGAGGGGGGCGAGCGUUGUUCGGAAUUAUUGGGCGUAAAGGGUGCGUAGGCGGUUCCGCAAGUCCUGUGUGAAAUCUUCGGGCUCAACUCGAAGUCUGCACGGGAAACUGCGGGGCUUUGAGUGUGGGAGAGGUGAGUGGAAUUCCCGGUGUAGCGGUGAAAUGCGUAGAGAUGCGGAGGAACACCAGUGGCGAAAGCGACUUUCUGGUCCUUAACUGACGCUGAGGCGACGAAGCAUGGGGGAGCGAACGGG
rnacentral:rRNA from 1 species